AUGGACGCGAGGUUCCCGUACUCGCCGGCCGAGGUGGCCAAGGUGCAGCUCGUGCAGUUCGGCAUCCUCAGCCCGGAUGAAAUCAGGCAAAUGUCAGUGGCGGUGAUAGAGCAUGCAGAGACUAUGGAGAGGGGAAAGGCGAAGCCUGGGGGUUUGAGUGACCCUCGUUUGGGUACUAUUGACCAGAAGAUCAAGUGUGAUACAUGUAUGGCUGGGAUGGCUGAGUGCCCGGGCCACUUUGGCCACCUUGAGCUUGCAAAGCCAAUGUUCCACAUCGGCUUCAUCAAGACUGUACUCUCCAUAAUGCGCUGUGUGUGCUUCAACUGUUCCAAGAUCCUGGCAGACGAGGAGGAUACUAAGUUCAAGCAAGCUCUGAAAAUUAGUAACCCCAAAAAUAGAUUAAGAAGAAUAUAUGAUGCUUGCAAGAGCAAAAAGACUUGUGCUGGUGGUGGUGAACUUGAGGUUCAAGAUCAGCAGGGCACUGAUGAGACACUAAAGAAGAGAGGUGGUUGUGGUGCUCAGCAGCCAAGUAUCACAGUUGAUGGUAUGAAGAUGGUUGCAGAGUUUGAAGCAACAAAGAAGAAAACUGAUGAUCAAGAUCAACUCCCUGAACUAGUGGAGCGAAAGCAAAUUCUCUCUGCCGAGAGGGUCCUUAAUGUUCUCAAGCAUAUAAGUGAUGAUGACUGUCUUUUGUUGGGCCUGAAUCCUAAAUGCGCUCGUCCUGAUUGGAUGAUACUGCAAGUCCUUCCUAUUCCUCCACCGCACGUGAGACCAUCUGCCAUGAUGGAUACUUCCUCCAGAAGUGAGGAUGAUUUGACUCAUCAAUUAGUGAUGAUAAUUCGACAUAAUGAGAAUUUGACGAAGCAAGAGAGAAAUGGAGCCCCGGCUCACAUUAUAAAAGAGUUUGCUCAGUUGUUGCAGUUUCACAUUGCAACGUACUUCGGCAAUGAUCUUCCUGGACAACCAAGGGCCAAUCAGCAUUCUGGAAGGCCUAUAAAAUCAAUUUGCAGCAGGCUGAAAGCAAAAGAAGGUUGGAUUAGAGGAAACCUAAUUGGGAAGCAUGUUGGUUUCUCAGCUCGUACUGUCAUCACACCAGAUCCGAACAUCAACAUUGAUCAAUUGGGGGUGCCAUGGAGUAUUGCUUUGAAUCUGACAUACCCAGAAACUGUCACUCCAUAUAACAUCGAGAGGUUGAAAGAGCUAGUAGAAUAUGGGCCUCACCCUCCGCCAGGGAAGACUGGUGCAAAGUACAUUAUCAGGGAAGAUGGUCAGAGAGUGGAUCUUCGCUAUGUGAAGAAAAGUAGUGAUCAGCAUUUGGAGCUGGGUUACAAGGUGGAAAGACACCUCAAUGAUGGAGAUUUUGUCCUUUUCAAUCGGCAACCAAGCCUUCACAAAAUGCCUAUCAUGGGGCAUCGUGUUAAAAUUAUGCCCUGCUCAACUUUCUGCCUGAACUUGUCUGUCACAUCACCGUACAAUGCAGAUUUUGAUGCGGAUGAAAUGAAUAUGCAUGUUCCUCAGUCAUUUGAGACCACAGCUGUAGUUUUAGAGUUGAUGAUGGUUUCAAAAUGCAUUGUCUCACCUCAAGCGAAUAUACCUGCUAUGGGUAUUGUCCAGGACACACUUCUUGGGUGUCGAAAAAUCACCAAAAGGGACACUCUUAUUGAAAAGGACAUAUUUAUGAACAUGUUAAUGUGGUGGGAAGAUUUUGAUGGGAAGGUCCCUGCCCCUGCCAUUUUGAAACCAAGGCCGAUUUGGACUGGCAAACAAGUUUUCAACUUGAUUAUCCCCAAGCUAAUCAAUUUAAUAAGUUUUUCAGCCUGGCAUGCUGAAACAGAGUGUGGAUUUAUUACUCCUGGUGAUACUAUGGUCCGGAUAGAGAAGGGAGAGCUUCUGUCUGGUACACUUUGCAAAAGAACACUUGGGACAUCAACUGGAAGUCUUAUUCAUGCUAUUUGUGAAGAGGUAGGGCCAGAUGCUGCACUGAAGUUCUUGGGUCAUACACAGUCGCUGGUCAACUACUGGCUUCUGCAAAACGGUUUCAGUAUUGGUAUUGGAGAUGCAAUUGCAGAUGCAGAUACCAUGGAGAAGAUUGAUGAGACAAUUGGAACAGCUAAGAAUGAUGUGAAGGAGCUUAUUAAGCAAGCACAAGAAAAGAACUUGGAACCUGAGCCAGGACUCACAAUGAUGGAAUCAUUUGAGAACCGAGUAAAUCAGAUUCUUAGCAAGGCUUAUGAUGAUGCUGAGAGUAGUGCUCAGAAGGGUUUGUCUGAGAGCAACAAUUUGAAAGCCAUGGUCACUGCAGGCUCAAAAGGCAGUUUCAUUAAUAUUUCGCAAAUGAUUGCUUGUCUUGGACAGCAGAAAAUUGAGGGCAAGCGGAUUCCGUUUGGUUUUGUUGAUUGUACAUUACCCCAAUUUACGAAAGAUGACUAUGGCCCUGAAAGUCGUGGGUUUGUUCAGAAUUCGUACCUUCGAGGUCUGACACCACAGGAGUUUUUCUUCCAUGCUAUGGUUAGUAGAGAAGGUUUGAUUGAUGCUGCUGUGAGAACUCCGAGACAGGGAAGGCAGUAUUCAGGGGAGGCUCGUGAAGGCUAUGGAGGACAUCGUGAUGAAACAUGA
rnacentral:rRNA from 1 species